ACAGAAGAAGAAAUGAUUUCUAACUGUUUUCUGAUGCAGUUCAUCUUCAAGUCGAUGCUUUGCAUGAUCCAGAAUUUAGUGAACAGAGAAGGGAACAGCGAAUCUCUUGCGUGUCUCUCACUCUCCAUCAUAUCAGCGCUUUGAGUUGUUAUAUAACGAGCCAGAGUGAUUCUCCUUGUACCCGGCGGCCUUUACCUCUCGCUGUCUCCAGUGUGAUUCGGGCCACCCGAACUCCUGACAUCAUGACUCACAACAUCAGGAAGCUGUAAACACUCCAGACCCGUGUCUCCUGUUACCAUUCAUCCCGGCUCUCCUGCUGCUAUUAAAAAGAGAUGAAAGUGAUGCAAAGAUCUAGUGAAGCUGGAUGGGGAAUGUUCGGCCCGCAGGGGUUCCUGUCCCGCUUUCAAAUCUCACAGAAAACAAUUACAUAAGCUUCUGCUAAACUCACGCAGAGGGAGGAAACAUUAAAAGUGCCAUCGUCCUGAACAGUAAGAAAAGAGUUUCUGCUCAACACUGUACCUGUGAUGCAGAACUGACCUUAUUAAUCAUUCAGUAUAUUAAUCAUUUAAUGUGGAUACAGUUGCUGUUUCUAUAUUUGGAUCGUGAAUUGCUCUUUUGCACUCUC